rnacentral:lncRNA from 1 species
AGCUCUUGCUCUUGCUCCUUUGCCUGCUUGCUGCGUGAGACUGAGUAACUGCUAGAUCCUUGGACUUCCAUUCACAGCUGCGACUGAACAAUUGUUGGGAAUUCGGCUGCCGACUUGCAGAAAACAGAUGGAUCAUGGAGAAUGACAGUUGAUUACCGAAAACUAAAUCAGGUAGUAACUCCAAUUGCAGCUGCUGUACCAGAUGUAGUUUCCUUACUUGAGCAAAUUAACACAUCUCCUGGCACCUGGUAUGCGGCUAUUGAUCUGGCAAAUGCCUUCUUCUCAGUACCUGUCCAUAAGGACCACCAGAAGCAAUUUGCUUUCAGUUGGCAAGGCCAACAGUAUACCUUCACAGUUUUGCCUCAAGGAUAUAUUAACUCUCCUGCCCUGUGUCAUAAUUUAGUUAGAAGGGAUCUUGAUCGUUUGGAUCUUCCACAAAAUAUCACAUUGGUGCACUAUAUUGAUGACAUUAUGCUGAUUGGACUAAGUGAGCAGGAAGUAGCAACCACUUUGGACUCAUUGGUAACACAUAUGCGUAUCAGAGGAUGGGAAAUAAAUCCAACCAAAAAUUCAAGGACCAUCUACUUCAGUGAAAUUCUUAGGAGUCCAGUGGUGUGGGGCAUGCAGAGAUAUUCCUUCUAAGGUAAAAGAUAAGUUAUUGCACCUGGCCCCUCCUACAACCAAGAAAGAAGCACAACGUUUAGUGGGUCUAUUUGGAUUCUGGAGACAACACAUCCCUCACUUGGGUGUGUUACUUAGGCCUAUUUACCAAGUGACUCGGAAAGCUGCUAGCUUUGUGUGGGGCCUGGAACAGGAGAAGGCCCUUCAACAGGUCCAGGCUGCUGUGCAGGCUGCUCUACCACUUGGACCAUAUGACCCAGCAGACCCGAUGGUACUUGAGGUGUCUGUGGCUGAUAGAGAUGCUGUUUGGAGCCUCUGGCAGGCCCCUGUAGGUGAAUCACAGAAAAGACCUUUGGGAUUUUGGAGCAAAGCUCUACCAUCAUCUGCAGACAACUAUUCUCCCUUUGAAAAACAGCUCUUGGCCUGCUAUUGGGCCUUAGUGGAAACUGAACGUUUGACAAUAGGACACCAAGUUACUAUGCGACCUGAACUACCCAUCAUGAGCUGGGUACUAUCAGACCCUGCAAGUCAUAAAGUGGGACGCGCACAGCAGCAGUCUAUUAUCAAAUGGAAGUGGUAUAUACGUGAUCGGGCCAGAGCAGGUCCUGAAGGCACAAGCAAGUUACAUGAAGAAGUUGCUCAAAUGCCUAUGGUUUCUACUCCUGUUACAAUGCCAUCUGCUGCCAAGCAUGCACCUAUAGCCUCAUGGGGUGUUCCCUAUGAUCAACUGACCGAAGAGGAGAAGACUAGAGCCUGGUUUACUGAUGGCUCUGCACGUUAUGCAGGCACCACCCAGAAGUGGACAGCUGCAGCAUUACAACCCCUUUCUGGGACAACCUUGAAAGACACAGGUGAAGGGAAAUCUUCACAGUGGGCAGAACUUCGGGCAGUACACAUGGUAUUACAGUUUGUUUGCAAGAAGAAAUGGCCAGAUGUACGAUUAUACACUGACUCAUGGGCUGUAGCCAAUGGAUUGGCUGGAUGGUCAGGGACUUGGAAAGAUCACAAUUGGAAAAUUGGUGAGAAAGACAUCUGGGGAAGAAGUAUGUGGAUAGAUCUCUCCAAAUGGGCAAAGGAUGUGAAGAUAUUUGUGUCCCAUGUAAAUGCUCACCAAAAGGUGACUUCAGCUGAGGAGGAGUUCAAUAAUCAAGUGGAUAAGAUGACCCGUUCUGUGGACAAUCAGCCUCUCUCCCCAGCCAUCCCUGUCAUUGCUCAAUGGGCACAUGAACAAAGUGGCCAUGGUGGUCGAGAUGGAGGUUAUGCUUGGGCUCAGCAACAUGGGCUUCCACUCACCAAGGCUGACCUGGCUACAGCUGCUGCUGAUUGCCAGAUCUGCCAACAGCAGAAACCAACACUGAGCCCCAGAUAUGGCACCAUUCCUCGAGGUGACCAGCCAGCAACCUGGUGGCAGGUUGACUACAUUGGACCACUUCCUUCGUGGAAAGGACAGCGUUUUGUUCUUACUGGAGUAGAUACUUAUUCUGGUUAUGGAUUUGCCUUUCCUGCACGUAAUGCCUCUGCUAAAACCACCAUUCACGGACUGACAGAAUGCCUCAUCUAUCGUCAUGGUAUUCCACACAGUAUUGCUUCUGACCAAGGAACUCAUUUCACAGCCAGAGAAGUACGACAGUGGGCUCACGAUCAUGGAAUUCACUGGUCUUACCACAUUCCCCAUCAUCCUGAAGCAGCUGGGCUGAUAGAAAGAUGGAAUGGCCUUUUGAAGACGCAGUUACAGCGCCAAUUAGGUGGUAACAGCUUGGAAGGCUGGGGCAGAGUUCUUCAGAAGGCAGUAUAUGCUUUGAAUCAGCGCUCGAUAUAUGGUACAGUUUCACCCAUAGCCAGGAUUCAUGGGUCCAGGAAUCAAGGGGUGGAAAACGGAAUAGUUCCACUUACUAUCACUCCUAGUGACCCUCUAGGAAAAUUUUUGCUUCCUGUCCCCAUAACUCUAGGUUCUGCUGGCUUAGAAGUUUUGGCUCCAGAGAGGGGAGUGCUCCUACCAGGAGCUACAACAAACAUUUCAUUGAACUGGAAGCUCAGACUUCCCCCUGGUCAUUUUGGGCUUCUAAUGCCCUUAAACCAACAGGC